rnacentral:sRNA from 1 species
UAUGCAAGAUUCCACUCCUUGAAGCUUUUCUAUUCAUAGCUUUUUUAGGCACUAAGAGCUUGCUAUACUAAUUAGAGUACAAAUGUUGUGCAUGCAUGCAUGCAUUGACACGUGUACUCUUUCAUGUUGGUAUAUUUAUAAUGUAUUUUUUUUCAUUGUAGAAAUACAUCUUAAAAUACCGUCACGAACAUUCUCAUUAAAUCUAAAAUGUUCAAUCUCUUUUUUUCUUUUUUGAACAGUUUAUGAUUUAAUUUAUUGGGGAGAUAUAUACAUUAGAGUGGAGAAUAGGAAGUUUGGAGUAAAGAGUAACGAAGAACUCAG